rnacentral:rRNA from 1 species
AUUGAACGCUGGCGGCAGGCCUAACACAUGCAAGUCGAAUGGUAACAGGAAACAGCUUGCUGUUUCGCUGACGAGUGGCGGACGGGUGAGUAAUGUCUGGGAAACUGCCUGAUGGAGGGGGAUAACUACUGGAAACAGUAGCUAAUACCGCAUAACGUCGCAAGACCAAAGAGGGGGACCUUCGGGCCUCUUGCCAUCAGAUGUGCCCAGAUGGGAUUAGCUAGUAGGUGGGGUAACGGCUCACCUAGGCGACGAUCCCUAGCUGGUCUGAGAGGAUGACCAGCCACACUGGAACUGAGACACGGUCCAGACUCCUACGGGAGGCAGCAGUGGGGAAUAUUGCACAAUGGGCGCAAGCCUGAUGCAGCCAUGCCGCGUGUAUGAAGAAGGCCUUCGGGUUGUAAAGUACUUUCAGCGGGGAGGAAGGGAGUAAAGUUAAUACCUUUGCUCAUUGACGUUACCCGCAGAAGAAGCGCCGGCUAACUCCGUG